UACGAAGGGGGCUAGCGUUGCUCGGAAUGACUGGGCGUAAAGGGCGCGUAGGCGGGUCAUCCAGUCAGAUGGGAAAUUCCUGGGCUCAACCUGGGGGCUGCAUUUGAUACGUGUGGACUAGAGUGGGGAAGAGGGUCGUGGAAUUCCCAGUGUAGAGGUGAAAUUCGUAGAUAUUGGGAAGAACACCGGUGGCGAAGGCGGCGACCUGGUCCUUGACUGACGCUGAGGCGCGAAAGCGUGGGGAGCAAACAGG
rnacentral:rRNA from 1 species